CGUGAGUGAUGAAGGCUUUCGAGUCGUAAAGCUCUGUGAGGUGGAAAGAAAUGUUCCAGUACUAAUAUUACUGGGAUUUGACGGUACCACCAGAGGAAGCACCGGCUAACUCCGUGCCAGCAGCCGCGGUAAUACGGAGGGUGCAAGCGUUGUUCGGAAUUACUGGGCGUAAAGGGCGUGUAGGCGGUUUGGCAAGUCAGAUGUGAAAUCCCUUAGCUCAACUAAGGAAGUGCAUUUGAAACUGUUUAACUAGAGUACAGGAGGGGAAAGUGGAAUUCCCAGUGUAGAGGUGAAAUUCAUAGAUAUUGGGAGGAACACCGGUGGCGAAGGCGGCUUUCUGGCCUGAUACUGACGCUGAGACGCGAAAGCGUGGGGAGCAAACAGGAUUAGAUACCCUGGUAGUCCACGCCGUAAACGAUGGGCACUAGGUGUAGGAAGUGUUGACCCUUUCUGUGCCGAAGCUAACGCAUUAA
rnacentral:rRNA from 1 species